CAUGCAUGUCUAAGUAUAAGCAAUUAUACGGCGAAACUGCGAAUGGCUCAUUAUAUAAGUUAUCGUUUAUUUGAUAGUACCUUACUACUUGGAUAACCGUGGUAAUUCUAGAGCUAAUACAUGCUGAAAAUCCCGACUUACGGAGGGAUGUAUUUAUUAGAUUAAAAACCAAUGCCCUCUGGGCUCUCUGGUGAUUCAUGAUAACUUCUCGAAUCGCACGGCCUUGCGCCGGCGAUGGUUCAUUCAAAUUUCUUCCCUAUCAACUUUCGAUGUUUGGGUAGUGGCCAAACAUGGUUGCAACGGGUAACGGAGGGUUAGGGCUCGACCCCGGAGAAGGAGCCUGAGAAACGGCUACUACAUCCAAGGAAGGCAGCAGGCGCGCAAAUUACCCAAUCCCGACACGGGGAGGUAGUGACAAUAAAUACUGAUACAGGGCUCUUUUGGGUCUUGUAAUUGGAAUGAGUACAAUUUAAAUCCCUUAACGAGGAACAAUUGGAGGGCAAGUCUGGUGCCAGCAGCCGCGGUAAUUCCAGCUCCAAUAGCGUAUAUUAAAGUUGUUGUGGUUAAAAAGCUCGUAGUUGAACCUUGGGCCUGGCUGGCCGGUCCGCCUCACCGCGUGCACUGGUCCGGCCGGGCCUUUCCCUCUGCGGAACCCCAUGCCCUUCACUGGGCGUGGCGGGGAAACAGGACUUUUACUUUGAAAAAAUUAGAGUGCUCCAGGCAGGCCUAUGCUCGAAUACAUUAGCAUGGAAUAAUGAAAUAGGACGUGCGGUUCUAUUUUGUUGGUUUCUAGGACCGCCGUAAUGAUUAAUAGGGACAGUCGGGGGCAUCAGUAUUCAAUUGUCAGAGGUGAAAUUCUUGGAUUUAUUGAAGACUAACUACUGCGAAAGCAUUUGCCAAGGAUGUUUUCAUUAAUCAGGAACGAAAGUUAGGGGAUCGAAGACGAUCAGAUACCGUCGUAGUCUUAACCAUAAACUAUGCCGACUAGGGAUCGGACGAUGUUAUUAUUUGACUCGUUCGGCACCUUACGAGAAAUCAAAGUGCUUGGGCUCCAGGGG
rnacentral:rRNA from 1 species